AUUUUUAGUUAUAACAAUCUAUACUGAAAUAUUAUAAGUUAUGCCCUUUAAACUUAAAGGAUUUGGCGGUAAUUUAGUCAAGUUAGAGGAACCUGUUUAAUAAACGAUAAACCACGUAAAAUCUUACCUUUUCUAAAAGUUUGUAUACCUUCAUUAUUAGGUAAUUCUUAAAAGAAAAAAUUACUUCAAUAAAUAUUGAUUUUCUUUAUUUAAUAUAUUAGAUCAAGGUGCAGCCUAUGAAAAGGAUAAAAUGGGUUACAAUAAAACUAAUUUACUAUGAAUAAAAAAUUUAAAUAUUUUUUUGAAGGAGGAUUUAAUAGUAAAAUUAAUUUAAUAAGUUAAUUUGAUAAUAGAUCUAAAUUAAGUACAUAUCGCCCGUCGCUUUCAUCUCCAAAUGAAAUAAGUCGUAACAUAG
rnacentral:rRNA from 1 species